GUGGCUCAGUGGUUAGAGCACCGACUGCUCUUACAGAAGACCUGGGUUCAAUUCCCAGC
rnacentral:tRNA from 1 species